rnacentral:lncRNA from 1 species
CAAAACUAAGAAAACGCAGAGCAGGGCAAGGGAGACUGGGGGCCCUGAAAGACUACAACUUUAAACACACGGUCAAAUUGCCCUAAAUAUAGAAGUGAUUUUUACACAAAGCCUCAGGACAAUGAGGAAGUCGGCCAAUAGAUAUCAAGGGGAAUUGUGUUCCAGGGCCAAGGCGCCAAGGUGGCAGAAGGCCUUAGGGUUAAACAAACAUGAAGGAGGCCACAGUGCUAGGGAAAGAGUGGAUGGAGGAGGAGCGGGGAGGAGAGGAGGCUGGAGAGCAAAGGGAUCCCAGCAAGCAAGACGCUGUGUGUGGGCUGAAGACUCUGGCUUUUCCUCGAGGGAUGCUGGUGCUGCUGCAGGGCUCACAGAGAGCCUCUGGGGAUGGAUCAGAUGGGGCUAGGGCUGGGGGGAGACCAGCCAGGAACAAAGGAGGGGCAACUGUGGCAGCUGUGGAGAGGUGGAGCACCAGUACCACCAGCUUCCAUUGUGCAGACCCCCGAGUCUGCACUAGCAUGAGCCUGCGUGAACCCCCCCCUGGAGCCUGCAUCUUCUGGCUGAGGUCUGAACCCCUCUAAGUCCUCCUGGCCUGCCCCAGAACCCAGCUGGCCAAGCCUUCCGGUCAAGUCAGCGACCACUGUGUCCCUCACUGCCCUGCCGCGUCUCCAGACCAAAGACUCAGGCUGUCUGAACCAAGAGCACACCAGACCACGGUGUCCCUAAAGCAACUCCCUCCUCCCUUCCCUCUGCACCAUCCCCAGCCACCCUAGUUUUCUGGAGAGGUUCAUCCCCCCUGGACCAGCCAACCUGCCUCAAGGCCACUGCCACACUUGAAGACACCUCUUACUCCAGCCUAGAGACCCCAUCCGUCUUGUCCAGGUCCAUAAUGCUGAGGGGCUGAAAUGUCAAUAAAGUGGGUGACUGACCAAGGUAAGGAAUGGGCUGCGUGCGUUCUUAGGUGCCCCUGCUCCCCAUCCUGACUCUCCGUUUUGCCCGAGUGGGUCAUCUACUUCUCUUCCCCAACGGCUUUCGUCCGCAUGAGUCUCCGCAUGGCAUUUUUCAUCUCCGCGUUCCUGAAGGAGUAGAUGACAGGAUUUAAGAGGGGUGUGACCACCGUGUAAAACACAGCCACUAUCUUGUGUGCAGGGAGGGAGACGCAGGGCCUCAAGUAGACAAAGGAGCAGGGGAUGAAGAAGAGGCCCACAACCGCCAGGUGAGAGGCACAGGUGGAAAGGGCCUUGCUCCGCCCGGUGGAAGUGCAGC